rnacentral:rRNA from 1 species
GAGUUUGAUCAUGGCUCAGAUUGAACGCUGGCGGCAUGCCUUACACAUGCAAGUCGAACGGCAGCACGGGAGCUUGCUCCUGGUGGCGAGUGGCGAACGGGUGAGUAAUGCAUCGGAACGUAUCCUGGAGUGGGGGAUAACGUAGCGAAAGUUACGCUAAUACCGCAUAUUCUGUGAGCAGGAAAGCGGGGGACCUUCGGGCCUCGCGCUCUUGGAGCGGCCGAUGUCGGAUUAGCUAGUUGGUGAGGUAGAGGCUCACCAAGGCGACGAUCCGUAGCAGGUCUGAGAGGAUGAUCUGCCACACUGGAACUGAGACACGGUCCAGACUCCUACGGGAGGCAGCAGUGGGGAAUUUUGGACAAUGGGGGCAACCCUGAUCCAGCCAUGCCGCGUGAGUGAAGAAGGCC